CCAACGGCCCUCUUUAGGGCCACUCUUUUGAUCUUAUUGUUUCAU
rfam:Strongyloides stercoralis strain PV0001 genome assembly, scaffold: SSTP_scaffold0000009